GGUUUAUCAGAGCAUCGACUCGCUGAAUUCAACAUUCUUCUUCAGUUUCAGAUUUCUUCUCCAAGAAACAAGAAAGAUGACUCAAGAUGUGGAGAUGGCCGACCAAGCACCUCCUUCCAAAUCCCUUUCAUCUGCUGACCCUUCUGUCUUGCCCCAUUUGAAGGAGAUAGCAUCGUUGAUUGAGACUGGGGCAUAUGCUCGUGAGGUCAGGAGGAUUUCCAGAGCUGUGAGGCUGACUAUGGUACUGAGGAAGAAGCUAAAGGCUUCUUCACUAGGUGCUUUCCUCAAUUUUGUUCUAGUGCCUGGAUCAGACGUGCAUUCCCGGCUAUCUUCCUUCCUACCCAAGGAAGAUGAACAUGAUAUGGAAGUUGAUAGUGCAACAUCCGGAACUCCGGCAUCAGUCAAGCAUUCUUUGCCAGAGCUUGAGAUCUAUUGCUACUUGCUUGUUUUGAUAUUCUUAAUUGAUCAGAAGAAAUACGAUGAGGCCAAGGCAUGCUCCUCAGCAAGUAUUGCUCGUCUAAAAACCGUGAACAGGAGGACAGUUGAUGUAUUAGCAUCUAGGCUUUAUUUCUACUACUCUCUGUGUUAUGAACUUACUGGUGAUCUUGCCGAAAUUCGAGGUAAUCUCCUCGCAUUGCACCGUAUUGCAACAUUACGCCGUGAUGAGUUGGGUCAGGAAACUCUUCUUAAUCUGCUAUUGCGGAAUUAUCUUCACUACAACUUGUACGAUCAAGCAGAGAAAUUGAGGUCAAAGGCCCCCCAUUUUGAAGCUCAUUCAAAUCAGCAG
rnacentral:misc_RNA from 1 species